GUGCCAGCAGCCGCGGUAAUACGGAGGGUGCAAGCGUUAUCCGGAUUCACUGGGUUUAAAGGGUGCGUAGGUGGGCUAGUAAGUCAGUGGUGAAAUCUCCGGGCUUAACCCGGAAACUGCCAUUGAUACUAUUAGUCUUGAAUGUUGUGGAGGUAAGCGGAAUAUGUCAUGUAGCGGUGAAAUGCUUAGAUAUGACAUAGAACACCGAUAGCGUAGGCAGCUUACUACACAAAUAUUGACACUGAGGCACGAAAGCGUGGGGAUCAAACAGGAUUAGAAACCCCCGUAGUCC
rnacentral:rRNA from 1 species